rnacentral:lncRNA from 1 species
AGCAUCUCAAUGAGAGGAUUGGUAUUAAUUUCCUCAUCAUUUGAUUGACUGAUAAUCAGCUUUCAUCAUUUCAUAGACCCAGACAAGUUGGCAACCAGUGCACAGUGAACCUGCUUCACACAUGCUGAUUUGGCCUUUUAUAGAGGAGAAAAUAUAUGAACCCAGCAGCCACCCCAAAAAUUGUCUGCUGAAACAUCAUGUUUCCAGAUAAAAGAAUCAUUUAAUGACUUGCAAGUAAAUCAAAAUGGAAAGAGGAGAGAAUAUAUGGACAGAAAUAUUUUUACAUUAGCACAAGAAGCUGCAUGGCAGAUUUAGAAAGAAGAGUGAUUUCUCAGCAAAAUACUAGUAUGGGCAACAAGGUGAGAAUAAAAGCUUCAAAAAACUGGCAACUGCUUAUGAAAACUGCUAUGAGUUAUGCAAUAAGAUUCAAAAGGUAUUCUACAUGCAAUAAAAUUUUAAAAUCUCUGAUUGAAGGAGUGUGUUUUUGUGAUAUUUGAGUGAGCUGUCAACAAAGAUGUAAGUACUCUACAGUAACUAAGCAGACAG